UUAAGUAAGUGCCCUUAAUCAGCUUUUCAGUUCAGUUUUAUUGGUUACACGCACAGUCAGUUAUUUCAUCCAGAAUAUCUGAAGGCCCUACAAACUAACCAGCCUCAGCAUCAGUUCAGCAUGGCUGGGGAGGACUCAGGAAAUUGCAAUCAUGACAGAAGGUGAAGGGGAAGCAAGUCACCUUCUUCAGAAGGCAGCAGGGAGAAGCUGUGGGUUACGAAUUUCUCUGAUCAUUUCAUGCUGAGCUCAGAGGAGGGACUCUGAAGUCAGUGCAUACAAGCCCAAACUGUUACCUUUGUUGUCAACUGCCUCCAGGGACAUGGAUGAAUUUGGAAACCAUCGUUUUCAGCAAACUAACACAAGAACAGAAAACCAAACACCAUAUGGUGUCACUCAUAGGUGAGUGUUGAACAAU